UACGUAGGAGGCAAGCGUUGUCCGGAAUUACUGGGCGUAAAGCGCGUGUAGGCGGUUCGGUAAGUCGGCUGUGAAAGUCCAGGGCUCAACCCUGGGAUGCCGGUCGAUACUGCCGGACUAGAGUUCGGAAGAGGCGAGUGGAAUUCCCGGUGUAGCGGUGAAAUGCGCAGAUAGUCGGGAGGAACACCAAUGGCGAAGGCAGCUCGCUGGGACGUUACUGACGCUGAGACGCGAAAGCGUGGGGAGCAAACAGG
rnacentral:rRNA from 1 species